GAUAAACGCUAGCGGCAGGCUUAACACAUGCAAGUCGAGGGGCAGCAUAGAUUGUAGCAAUACAAUUGGUGGCGACCGGCGCACGGGUGCGUAACGCGUAUGCAACCUACCCGUCACAGGGGGAUAAUCCGGAGAAAUCUGGUCUAAUACCCCAUAACAUAUGGAUCGGCAUCGGUUCAUGUUGAAAUUUUCGGAGGUGACGGAUGGGCAUGCGUAGCAUUAGCUUGUUGGUGAGGUAACGGCUCACCAAGGCGACGAUGCUUAGGGGGACUGAGAGGUUUUCCCCCCGCACUGUUACUGAGGCACGGACCAGCAUCCGACGGGAGGCAGCAGUGAGGAAUAUUGGUCAAUGGGCGCAAGCCUGAACCAGCCAGGCCGCGUGCAGGAUGACGGCUCUAUGAGUUGUAAACUGCUUUUGUACGAGGGUAAAGUGGGUUACGUGUAACCUUUUGGAAGUAUCGUACGAAUAAGGAUCGGCUAACUCCGUGCCAGCCGCCGCCGUAA
rnacentral:rRNA from 1 species